UGAAACUUAAAGAAAUUGACGGAAGGGCACCACCAGGGGUGGAGCCUGCGGCUUAAUUUGACUCAACACGGGGAAACUCACCAGGUCCAGACACAACGAGGAUUGACAGAUUGAGAGCUCU
rnacentral:rRNA from 1 species